GUUUACCGAUAAUGGAUUGCAAGUUUGGAGAGCUUAUGAUAUUGGUCAAGGAAAGUUGAUAUCAUGGAACAGCAUUAUUGAUAAGAAAAUUCCUGUGAUACAGUUUUUUGUUUAUCAUGAUUGGUCUUAUUCCCAGUUUGCUACAGUGGGUUCAGAAGUUGUUGACAGAGAAGAUGAUGAUGGUGAUGAGGAGGA